rfam:Ovis aries breed Texel chromosome 3, whole genome shotgun sequence.
UCCCUGGCGGUCCAGUGGCUAGGACUCUGUGCUUCCAUUGCAGAGGGCACGGGUUUGAUCCCUGGUCAGGGAA